GCUCCCUCUCCUUAGUUCUGAGCAAGCUCGCUGGCUGUUCUGAAGCCCUGGAGAUCAGUGGCUCCUUUGGCGAGCCAGGCUGCAGAGAGGUGAGGGAGGAGUGUGUUGGGUGUGGGAGGCAAGAAUAGGGAUUAUUCUAAGACCUCCUUCUCCUUUGCUCUCUGCUGCCUUCCCACCCCACACCUGGGGAGACAGUAUUAGAGAGUCGUUUUCAGCAUAUUGGUCAUGUCUUGCAUUCUCUCAGCUAAAUAUUGCCUUAGCACAGCAUAUUUUUUACUCCAGGGUGAUGUUUUAGGAACUCCAUGUUCUUACUCAAGGGAUUUUUCUCUUAAGCUUCAAUCUCCCUCCACAGAAAGCUGUUUUUAGAAGAAGAUAAACUUAGCAAUCAUGUUUGUGUUUGCUCUUUUGUAGUCGAGCAAAAGAUGUGAUAAUACCAGCAAAGCCACCUGUCAGCUUUUUCUCCUCGAGGUCUCCGGUGCUUGACCUCUUCCAGGGGCAGCUGGACUACGCAGAGCAUGUUCGCCGGGACUCAGAGGUGGUGCUGUUGUUCUUCUACGCUCCGUGGUGUGGCCAGUCCAUUGCCGCCAGGUCAGAGAUUGAGCAAGCAGCGGGUCAGCUUUCAGACCAGGUGUUGUUUGUGGCAAUUAACUGUUGGUGGAACCAGGGGAAAUGCAGAAAACAGAAGCAUUUCUUUUAUUUCCCUGUGAUAUAUCUGUAUCAUCGGAGUUUUGGACCAAUCGAAUACAAAGGCCCCAUGAGUGCUGUUUACAUUGAGAAGUUUAUCCGCCGGGUGAUGAAACCACUUCUCUACAUCCCAUCUCAAUCAGAAUUACUAGAUUUUCUCUCAGACUACGAGAUAUGCACUAAAAUCAUACCUGCCUUGGAGCGCCUGGUUGGCCCAGUUGGGAGAGCGUGCACUCUUGAUCUCGAGGGUUGUAAGUUUGAGCCCCAUGUUGGGUGUAGAGAUUCCUUAAAAAUAA